rnacentral:lncRNA from 1 species
ACCUGAAAAUGUCAGAGAACUUGUCCCUUAAGAAAAGUUACUGUCACAUCGAUUUUUCUUCUCAUUGAUAUUUACUUGGAUUACCUUCAUUGAGGUAUUUCUAAGUGGAAAUCUGAAAAAGGAAUUUCUUACCAUUUAUACAUAUGCUUAUUAGGAGUUUGACAUAAACUGGCAUGUCACGUUGCUCUGUGAAUGUCAGAAUUCUGACGUACGGACCCAAAGUUACCCGUUCUUAAAUCAUGACUGCCUUAUCUUCCCUGACAAAAUUGAAAGCAAGAAACAAAUUUUGCAUCUAAAGUUUGAAAUUAACAUGACACAUGUGACCUUUGCAAAGUAGAUAUGAUGUGAAGAGACUAACACUUAACAAUGCUUCAGAAUCAUCUAAUACCUUGACCACAAUUAAACAAAAUGGUGUUACCUGUACAUUCUCCAGAUAGAGAUAAGUAUCUAUGUACAAAUGAAUAUUUAACACUUGUUAUACUGAAAUUAUAUAUAAACACCACAGUGAUAGUCAUUUAUUUGCAAAAUCUUGUCAACCUUAAUCAAAAUAUUUAAAACAAUAGUCACUCAACUUUUUAUUUCUCCUAGUUUGUUUCUGCUGUGAAUUCACAUGGUCAGUCAUUUGGGCCUCAAUUUCCAUUUAAAUAUAUGUGGAUCCCCACUUCUCAGGCAGAAUGCAGCUUGGAGGCCAUCAAUAAUUUAUACGCCAGUGUCCUUCCUACAUUCACCACCAUACUCCAAGGUGAAAUACCCAGAAAUUACUAGGCCCUAGAAUAUUGCUAUAGGAGAUACUAGCUUUCCUCUUCCCAGGAAGACUGAUCUGCUGUGGGACUCCCUGUAUCAUGCUUUGGGUGGAAAGAGGCAGUAGGAUAAAAUGGUUUAGUGUGUGGGCCCUGUGCUUAUACUUGGAUACAUUAGCUAUGCUGUUUCCUAUGUGUGUAGCAUUUGCAAAAUUAUGUAAAUUCUCUGAGACUCAUUUUGCAAAGGCUGCAAAUCUAGUUUGUAUAUGACCAUCGCACUUCUUGGUGUAUAAUCUCUGAGUAGCUCUGCAUUAUCUAUAGUAUAAGGUCCUUGUGGUAGAGCAUGCAAGGGUCUUUGUAGUAUGGGUCCCGCCCUUCCAACCCACAUACUCAUGCUCCAGUUAGGCCAAAUUAUUGCCAGCUGUGAAACAUUGCAUAAACCCUUGACCUCUCUGUGCUCCAGUUUCUACAUCCAUAAAAUAGAUGUUCUAAUACUAUAUAUUUCAUAUGGGUAGCUUACUUAGAAUAAUGUCUGACUCAUAUAAAUUCUAAAGAAAUAUUAUUAUUAUUUUUAGAUAUUAUUAACUAUUGCUACUAAUCAUUUUCAUUACUUUGGCUAUCUUUUCAUAUCUGCAACAGACCUUGUCCAAAACAUGCUUCUGGGUGCACAUAAAUGGAAAAUUUCCAGAUCCUACAAUGUAAGAACAGAUAAUGUAUGACUGCACAAGAAAUAAAUAAGAAACAUGAAAAUAGGUCUUGGAACAUGAUGUAUAUUAGGAUCAUUAGUUUACUGGGAGGCAUGGACCAUUGCCAGGCAGUGGUGGUGGGAUUGAGAAGGUCAGGCCCAGAAGCCCCUUUGCCCAAGGCUCUUUUGACCAUGUAAAUUCCCCUGUAAGGGCUACCAGCUUCCAUUGCCAAUCAGUGAGGUUCAUGAGGGAGACCUCAAGAAGCAGUGUGCACCCAACUCUCCAAGCUCUAUCACAUCCUUGUGAUACUCAGCAAAACUUGUGAGCAGAACAGAACAUGGAGCUUGAGUUGCCAUUACACUCACAAACCUAGCCUAGUACCUUGGAAAUGCUUCUUCAGUAUUUUGCUGCUCCAUCUGCCUGAAAGGUCCAUGCCCGUUGACUUGUCCUUUUCACCUAAAUUCUGUCUUUAUUUCUCCAAUAACUAAACUAAAUAUUUAACUUCAGUGAACGCUAAAAGUAAAACUGAAUCAAGAUUGAACAAGACACCAUAAAACUCCUGGAAGAGAACAUAGGCAAAACAUUUUAUGACCUCAACUCUAUGAAUAUUUUCUCAGGUUAGGCUCCCAAAGAAAAAGAAAUAAAAGCAAAAAUAAACCAGUGGGACCUACUCAAACUGACAAGCUUUGGCACAGCAAAGGAAAUCAAAAAGGAACAAAAAGACAACUUACAGAAUGGGAGAAAAUAGUUUCAAAUGAUGCAAUGGACAAGGGCUUCAGCUCUAAAAUAUACAAACAACUUAUACAACUCAAAAGCAAAAAAGCCAACAACCCAAUGGAAAAAUGGGCAAAAGGCCUGAAUAGACAAUUCUGCAAGGAAGAGAUACAGAUGGCCAACAAGCACAUGAAAAAAUGCUCAACUUCCUUGAUUAUUAGAGAAAUGCACAUCAAAACUACCAUGAGAUGCCACCUCACACCAGUAAGAAUGGCCAUCAUUAAUAAAUCCACAAAUAACAAGUGAUGGAGGGGCUGUGGAGAAAAGGGAACCCUCCUGCACUGCUGGUGGGAAUGUAAGUCGAUACAACCACUAUGGAGAACAGUAUGGAGAUACCUUAGAAAUCUAUACACAGAACUACCAUAUGAUCCAUCAAUCCCACUCUUGGACAUAUAUCCAGACAAAACUUUCCUUAAAAAAGACACGUGAACCCCCAUGUUCAUUGCAGCUCUAUUCACAAUAGCCAAGACAUGGAAACAACCCAAAUGUCCAUCGACAGAUGACUGGAGUAGGAAGAUGUGGUAUAUAUACACAAUGGAAUACUACUCAGCCAUAAAAAAGAACAAAAUAAUGCUAUUUGCAGCAACAUAGAUGGAACUAGAGACUCUCGUACUGAGUGAAAUAAGUCAGAAAGAGAAAGACAAAUACCAUGUGAUAUCACUCAUAUUUGGUAUCUAAUAUACAGCACAAAUGAACCUUUCCACAGAAAAGAAAAAUGCGAACUUGGAGAAUAGACUUGUGGUUGCCAAGGGAGAGGGGGAAGGAGUGUGAGGGAUUGGGAGCUUGGGGUCAAUGGAUGCAAACUAUUGCUCAUGGAAUGGAUUUACAAUGAGAUCCUGCUGUGCAGCACUGAAAACUAUAUCUAGAUACUUACAAUGCAGCAUGAAAAUGGGAGAAAAAAUUAUGUAUGCAUGUAUGUGUAACUGGGUCCCCGUGCUGUACAGUGGGAAAAAAAAAAAGUGUGUUGGAAAUAACAAUAAAAAUAAAUUAAAAAAACAGAAAUUGGAGUUCCCUCCAGAAUGUCUUUUUUCUAAAAGUGCACUCCUCGCCCCUUGCCCCUGACUCCAGAUCAGGUAUUGCUGUUUAUAACACUAAACCACAAGGACUCUUUCUUUCCAGACCCUUGGGAUUAUACUUUGGAGCUUUUAGUUGUAGACAAGGAACUGUUCUCAUCCUUUUGUUUGCUUCUAUGGGAUAUGAAUGAAUCUGAAAGGAAUAUACUGUUUUCCUGUUCUAUUGUGAACACUAAUUAAAAAGAAAAAAAGCUAUCUCUUUUCCUUGCACAUUCCAUUAUAUUUUCUGUGGCUUAAAAACAGGAACUCUUAUUUUGGCAUUUAAACAUAAUGCCAGGUCCAUUGUAAGAAGAAUAAUAAACUCAUUAUUUAAAGAAUAAAUUGAUAAAUAAAUGAAUAAAUGGAUUUUGUUCUUUGGAAGCUCAUUUGCCUUAAUGUAUAUGAAAAAACCAACACUAAAUAUGAUAGUGUCUAAAUCCAGAUAUGACACACCUACAUUUCUUUUGUUGUAACUGUAUCUUGACCUAAACAUUUUUCCUCUCAUAAAUAAAGUUCUCUGUCAUACUUAUAGCUGGUUAAAGAAGAUUUUGCAAGACUCAGUGUAUAUACAGGUUUCAGGGAGCUAAAAUGUCAAUAUUCAUAUUACUUCACUUCAUUAAAUCCACAUUCCUAGUGACUUAAACUGUGAAAAAUUUAUUUCUUUAAAAGUCCUCAAAUUGUGCCCAUGUCAGCAGCACAGCACCCGUUAGUCAUCAUGGACCCAGCUCACCUUUCCAGCUAUUGCUCAGCCUGUGACAGGCGAGGUUUAUGAUAGGCAAGCUGAAGGUGAAGGGGAUGGAUGUAUACGCUGCAGAAUACAGCCGAUCGCGCACCUCUGCCAGAUUGCCCGUACGAGGCUCCCAGGGUUCGAGAUCCACUGCCAACAACCACGAUGGCAGUGUGGGCUGGAGUGCCCUUAAUUGGGUGCACAUGCUUUGGCAUCGCUGUGCCCUGAUUAGCGCUGUGUGGGCCGAUCAGCACUAGGCUGGAGUGCAGCACUUUCAGGGAAGAGCAUAUGGGAAGUGCAGAUGUUCAAAGGGUAGCUUCACCCUCCGUGCAGCCAGCAGCCCUCCUUGAAGAAUGAUCAUACCCUAUCCUGAGUAAGUCUAGGCAAGCGGGAUCUGCGUAAAAGUGCUGAGAAAGAUCCGAAUAGUUUCCUGUUCAGAGACUUCCCACUUGGUUCUCCCUUUAGGCACCGUGACUUAAUACUGCAUGCCCUUGAAACAUGACUUCCUAUGAUUUAAAGAAAAGAUAUCAAUAGUAUUGUACGUUGAGAAAAUCAAAAUAUUGAGUAUAAUUCUCUGUGCUGCACAGUAGUUCUUGUCGGUUAUCUAUUUUAUAUACAGUCACGUGUAUCUGUUAAUCCCAACAAAAAAACAUUGUAAAUAAGUAAACUUCAAUUAAAAAAAAAUGAAAAGUAAAGAUUCUCCUGUAACCAGUAGAACUAAAGCCAUCCAAAGGUUACCAAAUCACAUAAUUUAUCAAUAUACAUUCUUACAAUACUCACUGUUCAUUCAUUUAUUAAUUAAGCAAUUUUAUGAAGCACCUACAAUACAUGAGGAACUUGGAAGGGAAAAUGGACCUAGGCAUACAGAAAAAUGAAAGCCAAAAAAAAAAAAAAAAAAGGAAUUCAUUUACUUACAGAGGUCACAAUAUGUCACAGGGAAAUCUAAAUCAGACGACAGCUAAGCAAUUAGUCCCAAUUCUUCCAAUAAUUAGCUGUGCUCUCUGGGUCUCAGAUAUCUCACUCAAAGCUAACCAUGUUCAACUAAAUGAUUACAAAUGUCCCUUCUAGGUCUAAAACAUGAAUUAUACAAUAUGAAUAUAUCCUUUAUCUCCCUUAUCAUAUGGUUAAUUUAUUCAUUAAUGUAUUCAUUUGUUCAGAAAUCUCAGAGCCUAAUUUGCUCAAGGUAUAGUUCUAGGUGAUGGAGACACUGGCCAAAAGACACCUAAGCUUACAUUCUGAUGGGGCAAGAUGCAUUUUAAUAUGCAAGUAAGUGCAUAAAACAACAUACCAUCAUGGAGUCAUCAGGACUAUGAAGAAAAACAAGGACAUAAAACAGAGAGCAGCAGGUGACACAUUUUGUUAGGAAGGUCAAAGCAGAUGCUUCUAUCACAGUUUAAUGGGGAAAUACCAAUAAUAAACAUGUAUGCUAAUCAAUCAAAAACAUACUUUUAGAUACUGAUAAUAUCUAUUUAAAAAAAGGAAUGUGAUAGCAAGUAAAAGGAGUGGGAC